rnacentral:rRNA from 1 species
UACGUAGGGGGCAAGCGUUGUCCGGAUUUAUUGGGCGUAAAGGGCGCGCAGGCGGUCUUUUAAGUCUGAUGUGAAAUCUCGUAGCUUAACUACGAGCGGUCAUUGGAAACUGGAAGACUUGAGGACAGAAGAGGAGAGUGGAAUUCCACGUGUAGCGGUGAAAAAUGCGUAGAGAUGUGGAGGAACACCAGUGGCGAAGGCGACUCUCUGGUCUGUAACUGACGCUGAGGCGCGAAAGCGUGGGGGAGCGAACGG